AUUGAACGCUGGCGGCAGGCCUAACACAUGCAAGUCGAACGGUAGCACAGAGAGCUUGCUCUUGGGUGACGAGUGGCGGACGGGUGAGUAAUGUCUGGGAAACUGCCCGAUGGAGGGGGAUAACUACUGGAACGGUAGCUAAUACCGCAUAACGUCUUCGGACCAAAGUGGGGGACCUUCGGGCCUCACACCAUCGGAUGUGCCCAGAUGGGAUUAGCUAGUAGGUGGGGUAAUGGCUCACCUAGGCGACGAUCCCUAGCUGGUCUGAGAGGAUGAACAGCCACACUGGAACUGAGACACGGUCCAGACUCCUACGGGAGGCAGCAGUGGGGAAUAUUGCACAAUGGGCGCAAGCCUGAUGCAGCCAUGCCGCGUGUAUGAAGAAGGCCUUCGGGUUGUAAAGUACUUUCAGCGGGGAGGAAGGCGGUAAGGUUAAUAACCUUGCCGAUUGACGUUACCCGCAGAAGAAGCACCGGCUAACUCCGUGCCAGCAGCCGCCGUAAAAC
rnacentral:rRNA from 1 species